rnacentral:rRNA from 1 species
UACGGAGGGUGCAAGCGUUGUCCGGAUUUAUUGGGUUUAAAGGGUGCGUAGGCGGCCCGUUAAGUCAGCGGUGAAAUCCCACGGCUCAACCGUGGAACUGCCGUUGAUACUGGCGGGCUUGAGUUCGGUCGAGGCGGGCGGAACUGGUGGUGUAGCGGCGAAAUGCUUAGAUACCACCAAGAACCCCGAUUGCGUAGGCAGCUCGCUGGGCCGAAACUGACGCUGAGGCACGAAAGCGUGGGGAGCGAACAGG